rnacentral:rRNA from 1 species
GAGUUUGAUCAUGGCUCAGAUUGAACGCUGGCGGCAUGCUUUACACAUGCAAGUCGAGCGGCAGCGCGGGGGCAACCCUGGCGGCGAGCGGCGAACGGGUGAGUAAUACAUCGGAACGUACCCCGUAGUGGGGGAUAACCCGGCGAAAGCCGGACUAAUACCGCAUAUGCUCUACGGAGGAAAGUGGGGGACCCGCAAGGGCCUCAUGCUAUGGGAGCGGCCGAUGUCCGAUUAGCUUGUUGGCGGGGUAAAGGCCCACCAAGGCGACGGUCGGUAGCUGGUCUGAGAGGAUGAUCAGCCACACUGGGACUGAGACACGGCCCAGACUCCUACGGGAGGCAGCAGUGGGGAAUUUUGGACAAUGGGGGCAACCCUGAUCCAGCCAUGCCGCGUGCGGGAAGAAGGCCUUCGGGUUGUAAACCGCUUUUGUCCGGGAAGAAAAGGCAUCUCCUAAUACGAGGUGCUCUUGACGGUACUGGAAGAAUAAGCACCGGCUAACUACGUGCCAGCAGCCGCGGUAAUACGUAGGGUGCGGGCGUUAAUCGGAAUUACUGGGCGUAAAGCGUGCGCAGGCGGUUCGUCAAGUCUGAUGUGAAAGCCCCGGGCUCAACCUGGGAACUGCAUUGGAUACUAGCGAGCUUGAGUGUGGCAGAGGGGGGUGGAAUUCCACGUGUAGCAGUGAA